UCUCUUCUGGACGAUGAGUGAAUUUUUAGUUCACGUUUUGACAAUACCGUGACUAGAUUUUCACUCAUCCUCUAUGGGAGC
ncrna:Plutella xylostella (diamondback moth) microRNA pxy-mir-279b precursor